rnacentral:rRNA from 1 species
GAUGAACGCUGGCGGCGUGCCUAAUACAUGCAAGUCGAACGCAUUGUGGUUGAAAUGAUAUGAAGAACUUGUUCAGAUUUGAUUUUCAACAUUGCAAUGAGUGGCGAACGGGUGAGUAACACGUGGGAAACCUACCUCUUAGCAGGGGAUAACAUUUGGAAACAAAUGCUAAUACCGUAUAAUAAUUAAAACCGCAUGGUUUUAGUUUAAAAGAUGGUCUUGCUAUCACUAAGAGAUGGUCCCGCGGUGUAUUAGUUAGUUGGUGAGGUAAUGGCUCACCAAGACAAUGAUACAUAGCCGAGUUGAGAGACUGACCGGCCACAAUGGGACUGAGACACGGCCCAUACUCCUACGGGAGGCAGCAGUAGGGAAUCUUCCACAAAUGGACGAAAAGUCUGAUGGAGCGACGCCGCGUGUGUGAUGAAGGUUUCGGCUC